rnacentral:piRNA from 1 species
GUACAUAGAUUGACUUGGGAUGGUAG